CCAAGCGAGCGCAGGCGCUCAAAACUAAAGCCGCAUGAUCCUCAAUUUUUUUAAUUUUUUUUAAAGCCGCAUCCCCGAAACGCAUCGGCCCCUCGUCCUCUGCUGCCGCCGGAGAUCAGGAGGAGGGGGAGGAAGGGAGACCAGUGCGCGGCGGAGCUGGGCGUUCACUCAGGGUGGGUACAGACUGGUCCUUCUGAUCCGUGAUGAUAACUCAAGGUUGGGCAGCGGCGGCUGUGGUAGCAAAUGGUGGUGGUGGUAGACGGGGAGAUGAGAAGAAGGCGGCUCCAGGGUGCGACUUGGAGGCAUUGCGCAAGUGCCUGGAAGAGAACAAGGGUGAUGGCGCCAAGUGCCAGGCUCACAUUGACGCCUUCCGAUCCUCAUGUUCUGUCAGCCCCACCAACACCUCCGACUACCGUCCCACCGUACAAAAGGAGACCUGAAACACUGGUGUCUUUGCUGGGGUGGUUUUACAAGAAACCUUGUGGAAUAAUUAGGAUGAGGUGCGACUGUGCAAAUGCUCAUGUGCAAGAUAGGAUAAUUAGGACUUAGACUAGCAGUUUUUUUUUGAGAAAAUUAUACUUUUCAUCCCUCAAUUCUUCGCGAAGUUUAGAUUUGGUCCCUCAACUCCAAAACCGGACAACUUGCAUCCUUAACUACUGAAAUCGGACAAAAUUCAUCCCUGGUCACGGUUUUGACCGGUUUUGGUGCUGUCACACCCCGCUUUUGACCGUGCCGACUCAAAUUCGUCUACCUUUUCCAAUUCCGCUUAAUGUUUUCAAAUUCGGGUACUUUUUCCAAAUCCGCGCACUUUUUCCAAGUUCACGUACUUUUUUAAAUCCACGUGCGUUUUUAAAGUUCAUGUGGUUUUUUCAAAUUCAUGUAUUUUUUUAAAAUUGACGUACUUAUUCAUAUUCGCGUACAUUUUUUUGGAUUUGAAAGUUUUAUGCAAACUUGAAAACGUACGUGGAUUCGAAUUUCUUUUAUGCAAAUUAGAAAGAAGUGUGGAUUUGAAUAAUUAUGUCAACUAGAAACAAGUAUCUGAAUUUCAAACAAAGUUCAUGGAUUGGAAAAGGAACAUGGAUUUGAAAAAAAUACACGAACUUUAAAAAGUAUGCGGAUUUGAAACAAGUUCGUGAAUUUAAAAAACACUUCAUGGAUUUGAAAAAAACACUUGAAUUUGAUAAAAUUACACGAACUUGAAAGAAUACACUGAUUUGAAAAAAGUACGCAAAUUAAAAAAAUCAUGGAUUUGAAAAAAGUACACAAAUUUCAAAAUAGUUCAAGGAUUUGAAAAAGGUAUGUUUAUUUUUGAAAAAAAUGUGCGACCUUGAAAAAACUAUGUGGAUUUGAAAAGAGUAUGUGAAUUUAAAAAAAUUCACGGAUAUGAAAAAAUUAUGCGAAAAUUUGAGUCAACACCGGUCAAAACCAGGGUUAGUCAGCACCAAAACCAGUCAAAAUCAAGACCAGGGACGAACCUUGUCCGAUUUCGUUAGUUGGGGGUGCAAGUUGUCCGGUUUCAGAGUUAAGGGACCAAAUCUAGACUUCACCAUUUUCCUCGGUGAGUCACUUGGAACGGGCUGUGCUAGGCUACUUCACAAUUUGGAGUCUCAAAAGCUUGGCCUAGUUUCGUCUGGUGUUUUGGAUAAUAUGCACCUGAUUCAAAGAUGUUGUAAGGUGCAUAAGUUUUGUUUUUUUUUC